CUUGGUUCUGGCAUCGAUGAAGAACGCAGCGAAAUGCGAUAAGUAGUGUGAAUUGCAGAAUUCAGUGAAUCAUCGAAUCUUUGAACGCACAUUGCGCCCUUUGGUAUUCCAAAGGGCAUGCCUGUUCGAGCGUCAUUUGUACCCUCAAGCUUUGCUUGGUGUUGGGCGUCUUGUCUCUAGCUUUGCUGGAGACUCGCCUUAAAGUAAUUGGCAGCCGGCCUACUGGUUUCGGAGCGCAGCACAAGUCGCACUCUCUAUCAGCAAAGGUCUAGCAUCCAUUAAGCCUUUUUUCAACUUUUGACCUCGGAUCAGGUAGGGAUACCCGCUGAACUUAAGCAUAUCAAUAA
rnacentral:rRNA from 1 species